rnacentral:lncRNA from 1 species
CUGUGGGUAAGGUGCUAUUUGUUUAAAAAUGGUGGAAAAUGGUGUAUACGUUACUUGCUGCCUUAAAAAGUCCAUAAUUAAUAUCAGAAGAAGCUAUAGUUAAUUACAAGUCCUGAAGGCUGUUGCUCUUCAGUUGCAGGAGAAGAAUUGGCUGCAGACUCCUGUCUGUUGNNNNNNNNNNCCCCCAUCCUUGUCCCUGGAGCUUCUUGGUUGCUGUCAGCUCCCAGUCCCAGGGUGCAGGAGAGGCAGCAGGGGCUGAAGCCUGCACUGUCUGCCCAUCUCAGUGUGACACCCCAGCCCUCUGAGUCCUCCUGCCUGCUUCCCAUCCCCUCUGUCCCCAGAGGCUGGGGACAGCAGGAAUCUACUGUCCCCUGUGCUGGGGCAGCCAGUAACCUGCCACCUUGGCCAUGCUCCCCUCCACCUCCUACCUUGUUCCCACAGAUUCCAUCACUGUUUUCACGGGCCAGUGCUUUGUGGAUGAGUAUGGAAAGGAGGUUCUGAGGACCAUGUGGCUUCUGAGGUCACAUGUGGACAGCAUAAAAAAUGACUGGAAAGCCACCAGGGUGGGCAUCAAUGUCUUCACCCGUCUGCAGUCACAGGAGUGAGAGUGGCAUCGGGGGCUUCCCAGGCCAGCAGCAGCGCCAGGGGUGUGCCCCUGCUCCUGCAGCACCACCUGCUUCUCCCAAUAAAGCUUUGCUGCAAACAUUUACAGUCUCCUGUCAUGUUGUUGCAAAAUGUUGGAUAAGUAAAACAUUUCUUUAAAAGCUUUGUUCCUUGAUAUUUGAGGUUUUUUAUGCUUUUAAGCCUAAUCAACGAGAAAGGGCAUUUAGUCUGUGAAACUGAGAGCAGCAGACAAGCUCAAUGCUAUGUCCAGGUUAAAAAGAGAUCUUACUUGGUAGAAUUGCCUUGUUAAGGUUUAGGUCUUGAUGGGCUUUAAUAAUCUCAGAGUAGAGUGCAGGUUACAAAAGUUGGGAUGAACAAUAUACCAUUGGUAAUACACACAAAGAGUUCACAGGAAUUUACAGGACACUUGGCAAGAUAAUAAAAAAGCAAUAGAUAACUGGCUCA